CUGGGACUGAGGAACAAACAGCACCAAACAUGCUCUUUGUGCUGGCUAAGAAGGAGCACAAGAUGUUAUUCCAAAAUAGCAUUUGAAAGUGGCAAAGGAAAAUAACCCUCCCUGCAGCUACAGGUCAAGAUACUUCUGAGCUGGACAAUUCCUUCCUACUAAUAAUUAAAUACACUCAUGGAAAAGCAAUUUUCUUACUUCAUUAAGAGGACACCAAGGGCUUUCCCAGAGUUUGAGACGUGGUGCAUGCACAGCACCAGGACAGCUCCCACCAAAAGAAAGUGUCUCAUUUUCUAUGACUGCUGAAGAUUUAAACAGCUGGAGGCAGUGAGGAGCCCCUGAAGAUGGGAGUGAGGCAAAGCCUUGGGUGUCAAUGUGCCCUCCAGCCUUGUGAAAGCUUGGCUUUUAUUGACGAGUGCAACAUCCUGUGGUGGGUCAUAUCCCUCUGGCCAGUUGGGCUCAGCUGAUUGAACCUGGCCUCCUACAGUGGGCAGUUCUGCAUUCCCCCAAUCCCCACCUUUGCCUUCUGUGACUCAGACAGUGUCACUGGACCCCUUGCAGGGUUUUAUCUCAUGAUAUACUACCAAGCAGAUCCCUGAAGAGGCCAAAGUCUGCUCUGCUGAAGUCCAGAGUAGUGAGCUUGCUGUUCACCCUCCUUGGUGCUCUAAGGAACUCUGCUAUGUCAUGGUCAUUGCAGCCCAGGCAGAGGGCAGGUUUGUGUGUCAGAGUGCCUUUUUCUGGACUCCAUCAAGCAGGGCAGUCUUUUGCUGUAUAUUGCUUUAGCUGACAGCAAGAAAAUGACAUUUAAAAAACGCUGAAACAAACUGAAUGCGUACAUAAUAUCACCUUUUCAGGUCUGAGUCACUGAGAGGAAGUAGUCGUCUGUCACAUGAAUGGAAAGGGAAACAUCUGCAAAAUAGUCAAACUCUUAGAUUAGAUGUUAGUCCCAUUUCUGAAAUGCAUUUAACACUGUGGGUAAGACGACUGAGAUGUGCAAAUGUUAGAGCACACAUUUACUUCUCAGCUGUGUGGGAAUGAAUGAGAGGAUGAAUGAUUGUUUUUAUUUGCCAGUCUGAUUUGUGCAGGAGAUUUGUGGGAUGGUAUGAAUGGAAUGGGAGCUGUUGGCAUUCCAUAUAGUAUGUUUAGUAUAGCAGAACAAAAGAAAGAGAGGAUGUCAUUGCUUCCUCUAAAUACUGUCAGAAGGGAAAAGAGUAUUUCAUUGAAAAGACAAUGCCGGCAGAGAAAUGCCCUGGUAUGAAUGAGCUAUAGGUAAAUAUAGGCUGAGUAUGAAAAAGGUCACAAUCCUAGGCAAGGGACUAACUUUCAGAGAGGGGUAGGCAAAAAAAACCCUCUGACCUUUUGCUUGUUUUAAAGAACAGCUGAGACAGUUUACAAAUAGGAUAGUAUAAUGCUAUUAUCUGGCAGAAUGAGGACUAAAAUUCAUCUACUCUGAGGUCUUUUUCAGUCCUAGGCUCCAUGGUUCUACAGAGCAUUUACAUCUGACCUGUGCACUGCACAGCCUCCCUGAGCACAUACUACCCACCAAGGACUUUCUUUGGCCAAGCAUAUGUGGAUAAAUAAUUUGUUUUUCCUGUUUGUCCUCUGCAGGUCAAAGCUUCCACCAGGAAUAAGGUGGUGCCUCUUAGCCAGAGGGAGCUGGCUGCAUGGCCAGUUAAGAGGCAGUGGGCCAGGUUUGAGGUAUCAGGGUUAUUUCUCUGCAAAGAUUUUGAGAUUGUGCUUCCAGAACUGAGAUCAAGAGAACGUUGGGAGGACAUUGAGAGAUGGCAUAUGUGCACAGGGGCUGUAGGAUUCACUGGGAGUCAUAAUCAGCAAUGACUGUGACAUCCCAGGAUGAGCCCUCAUGUUUAUAAACACUGUGGGCUAAUUGCUGUGUACUGGCAAUUUCCUCUCCAUUAGGAGGUUAGCUUAGAUCAGUCUUUGCAACCAUCAGCUACCAUCUGUAGCUUCGUCCUUCCUAAUGUUUUUUACCUCCUGAUGCAUGUUCUCACCCAAAAUGAGUUGCUGUGAGCUGCUGACCAGUGAGAAGCAAUUGCAGCAAUCCUAAGUGGUUGAUGUUGGUGGCUCUUCAUCCUUGGGGCUCUUUGCCCUAUGUCUUGCCUUCUCAGCCAUUCCAUAACAUUUACACUGGGACAGGCAGAGGGAGCAGGGAGCUGGAGUGAGGUGUUGGACAGAGUAAUGGAGUUUUAAUCAAAAUGCAACUCAGCAAGCAGGAAACACUAGCUUACAUAAGCAAUAUUAAACUUUUUAGCAUUUUAUGGAGAGGAAAGAGGUAUUCUCAGAGAAAUAAUUAUUCUAAUUAUUCUUAUUGGCAGUUCUAACCUAGCAGUAGUUCUGGCUAAUUCAAAAGAGCUUAACUAUAAUCUGUACCUGUUCCUCUAGGGAAUGUUAUUGCAUAUUACACAUUCCUACUGAAAGUGGUGAUGUAUUGCUGUCCCUUUCUCUGUGGCAUGUACCAUAGAUGGAAGCCUUAAUUCCACACGUUCAUUAAAAAAAUUCUAAAAUAGCUUUUAAUUACUCCAUUUUUAAUUAAGGUAAGAGGAUCUGUAAUUUAAAAGUCUAUUUUUAAGUAUGGUAAAUGUACAGAGAAAAAGCAGAUCAAAAAUACACUCUUGGGGAAAAGAAACUGCUCUCUUAACGACAGGAGGUACUUUCUGUGGUUAGACAACUCACCUCCUUGUAUCACACUUGUAUUCCAAAAGGUCUGAGAAUUAGUCAUUUUCACCCUUUCUGAUACUGCCUUUUCCUUUAGGGGAUUUGUUGACUUUUUUCAUAUGCUGAAGAGGGAAAUAAUCUGCACUUGUCUUUUUCUUUAUUUCUUUUUUUUUAUGCAUAAUUAGUCAGUCACUUAAUUUGAACACACAGAAAGAAACUUUGUUUAAAAAAGGGCUACUGCUUUGUAUUUAAUCUUAGUGAUUUGAAAUUAAAUUUUUAUUCAGGUGAUUAGCUGCUUUUCUGGAGACUCUAGGUUUGUCCUAUCUUCUAGCUUGGCAAUAAAU